UACGAAGGGGGCUAGCGUUGUCCGGAUUUACUGGGCGUAAAGAGCGCGUAGGCGGUCUGUUAAGUGUGAAGUGAAAUCUCCAGGGCUCAACCCGGAAACUGCUUCGCAUACUGGCAGACUUGAGGAAUGCAGAGGUUUGUGGAAUUCCCGGUGUAACGGUGAAAUGUGUUGAUAUCGGGAGGAACACCCAUGGCGAAGGCAGCAAACUGGGCAUUAUCUGACGCUGAGGCGCGAAAGCUAGGGGAGCAAACAGG
rnacentral:rRNA from 1 species